rnacentral:snRNA from 1 species
ACGCCAUGGCGGCACAUAUGCUAAAAAUACAUAUACAGAGAAGGUUAGCAUGGCCCCUGCGAAAGGAUGACACGCAAAUCCGUGAAGCGUUCCAAUCUUUU